rnacentral:lncRNA from 1 species
GUUGUAUUUGGUGUUUGCUGCAGGACUGCAAUGCUCCCCAAAGAACUGUUGCUGAACAGAUCCACUUCCCACAUAUCCUAAUAGCUUUUGCACUACCUCUGCCGGGUGGUGGGCUAGAAGAGAGGUUGAACCCUUAUUAAAAGUAGGUUGCAAGAAAUGUAUGCCUACAGUUCUUCUGGGUGUUUUCCAAAAUUCUGAGGAUAACAUGUUGUCAAAAGUUCAAACACAGCCCUCUGCUCCUGCCAAUAAUCAACUAGUCUGGGGGCAGAAAAGUGAGCUUUACACUAGCCAAUUCUGACAGCCAAAUCUGGAGAGAAUGUCAACAGUUAAGGACAUCCUUCAGCAUAAGCUCCCACCUGUGGACCGGUAGAGGGUUGUAGUUUCUCUAGUGUAUCUGUCCUCCCAGUACACCAAAGGUAGCAGAAAACGGGAACAUGUGUGCCCUUGAAAAACAGGACAACAAGGAGACAAUUCCUACUGGCCUUGCAUGUGACCCAAGGGCCUUAUUCAGUAUGUCCCUGGUCUG